rnacentral:misc_RNA from 1 species
GUGAAUACCUGACACUCCGAUUCCUCUGCAAUGUAAAAUCAUCUCUCCAUCUCGAAACGUUAAGUUUCGAAUCAUUACCAGCAUUAAAGCCAGCUAGUUUGCUGGGAUCUCGACAGCUUACGCUGUAACUGCGAAUGAGCUUCUGGCUAACACAAGAGUUCACUUCUCCAUUAGCAACACGCCUCAGCUUUUCCCAAGACUCGGCAAUAGGCCGAUCAACCACAUUCCCUCCAACACUGCUUUCUUCAUCAUCAGAC